CCUGGGCGCAGCCUGAUCCAGCCAUGCCGCGUGUGUGAGAAGCCCUCGGGCUGAAUGCCACCUCUCCGGAUGAUAGCAUCGGCACACCCGGGUCUCCUGACGGUACCGGAAGACAAGCACCGGCUAUUUUCGUGCCAGCAGCCGCGGUAAUACGAAUGGUGCAAGCGUUACUCGGACCACUGGGCGUAAAGCGUGCGUAGGUGGUUUGUUAAGUCUGCUGUGAAAGCCCUGGGCUCAACCUGGGACUGGCAUUGGAUACUGGCAGGCUAGAGUGCGGUAGAGGGUAGUGGAACUCCCGGUGUAGCACUGAAAUGCGUAGAGAUCGGGAGGAACAUCUGUGGCGAAGGCGACUACCUGGACCAGCACUGACACUGAGGCACGAAAGCGUGGGGAGCAAACAGGAUUAGAUACCCUGGUAGUCCACGCCCUAAACGAUGCGAACUGGAUUUUGGGUGCAAUUAGGCACUCAGUAUCGAACUUAACGCGUUAAUCUCGCCGCCUAGGGAG
rnacentral:rRNA from 1 species